CAGGUAAACACACCUACAUAUUUAAGCAAGACUUAUUUUACUUGCACGCAGACUGGUUUCUUAAAGCUUUUAACAUGCAGUUAUACAGUGUGUUCAGAUUUUUCCUGAUUCUGUUAUCGAACGAGAUAUCUGAAGCUUUUUAUAGCUUUCAGUGUCCUGUUCAGGCACACUGGAAACGAAGGUCACAAACGUAUUGUGGUUCUGGCGCCAGAUACUGUUGCUUGUAUGAUCAAAAUAAAAACAAUUUUGUCGAAUUUUGCAGAGAAAAUCCAGAUUUUGAAGCACCUGGACAAAAACUAAUAGUUGCUGGGUCAGUUCAAGGGACGCUACAAGGAGCUGAUUGUGACAAAGCUUUCUACCAACCAUUUCGAUUCUUGUCAUCCGAGAACAGUCGCUGUGCUUAUAGGAAAUCGUACUGCAGCGAGGAAGGACAAAUCAAUUUUAGUAACGGUACAACGAUAAAGGAUAGGCUAUGCCGCUGUGAUUAUACUAGAAGUUAUGAUUUUAUAAUCAGGCCAAAACAUCGAUGUUAUUGUGAACCAACAGAGGAAGAUUGCUCCUGUCACCUAAAGAUAUGUUCCUCUAACGACAUUUUAUCACCAGGCAUGUAUAUACAUCUCUUAAAUGGGACUUAUUGGGAUACAUUUUACAUGUUAUAUUUUUCUU